UUGGUUAAAGCCCUUGGGCUUUUUUUUUAUUGAGCUCAAGAAAUAACACUGACUUUCUAUUUUGCAGCGGGUUUACUGUGGACGAUAUUAAAGCGGCAAGUGGCGAAGCUGCAACAACGAAUACCCAAAAUAAUAAAUAGGCUAUAGAGCUAUGCUCUAGGCGAUGAAUGAUUUCCAAGAAAGUGUGUGGUAAUUGAUGUCGACAGAUAAGUUGCAAUAAAGGUGUGGACCUAA